rnacentral:tRNA from 4 species
GGGUAUUUAGCUCAGUUGGUAGAGCAAUUCGCUUACAACGAAAAGGUCAAUGGUUCGAGUCCAUUAUUACCCA